GACAGAGGCCCCGAGCGUUAGGCGGAAUCACUGGGCUUAAAGCGUGUGUAGGCGGACCCCCUAAGUGUCUUGUGAAAUCCCACGGCUCACCCGUGGAACUGCUGGGGCAUACUGGGGGGUCUUGGGCCGUUCAGGGGGCGACUGGAACAAGCGGUGGAGCGGUGAAAUGCGUAGAUAUCGCUUGGAACGCCGAAGGUGAAAAACAGGGUCGCUGGGGGACGCGCCGACGCUGAGACACGAAAGCCCAGGGGGAGCAAACGGGG
rnacentral:rRNA from 1 species